rnacentral:rRNA from 1 species
GACGAACGCUGGCGGCGUGCUUAACACAUGCAAGUCGAACGAGAUCCAUGUUGUAGCAAUACUUCGGAAGAUCUAGUGGCGAACGGGUGAGGAACACGUGAGGAACCUGCCCCGGACUUCGGGAUAACAGUUGGAAACGAUUGCUAAUACCGAAUACCUCUGCGAAGUGGCAUCACUUUGCAAAGAAAGAAUUUCGGUCCGGGAGGGUCUCGCGGCCUAUCAGCUAGUUGGUGGGGUAACGGCCUACCAAGGCAUCGACGGGUAGCUGGUCUGAGAGGAUGAUCAGCCACACUGGGACUGAGACACGGCCCAGACUCCUACGGGAGGCAGCAGUGGGGAAUCUUGUGCAAUGGGCGAAAGCCUGACACAGCAACGCCGCGUGCGGGAAGAAGGCCUUCGGGUCGUAAACCGCUUUCAGCAGGAACGAAAAUGACGGUACCUGCAGAAGAAGGUGCGGCCAACUACGUGCCAGCCGCCGCAGUAAGAC